AGUGGUAUAGAAAAUAAAUGAGACAGCAGGGAUAAAAUAUGUUGGGUGCAACCUUUGGAAACAUAGCACAUCUGUACAGGAACUUGGCUGGUGGAAAAUUCUGGAAAAUUUGCGGAUCAGAGUAUCCUGAAUAGUUGUAUUUAGACGUUACUGUAUUUAUUAUUUAGAGAACUCGUCAGAUAAAUAGAAUCAUUUAGGAUUUUAUUUGUACAGUCCUGUGAAGAGACGCGGAAGCAUUCGGAUCCUUAUGGGAAGGAGGGAACGGACUUGCCUGCUGUGAGGUGAACAGUUUUGCCUUUUGUGCCCUUUCACUAUGAUGUAUAUCUCGUCACAAUCCAGAGUCAAUGUAGCCAGCAAUCUGAGGGCUGAACACUCUGAAGAAAUAUAUAAUCAGUUGAGAAGAGAGAACUUCUAGACAUUGGUCAAGUUGGCAAAUACAUGAAAUAGCUUCUGCUCAAGACUCAAAGAACAAGCAGCAGGUUAGGAAGCUCUUCUGAUUAAUGACUGGAACCGCACAGCUCAUGAAGCCAACUCAUGCGAUUUCCUAUGUGUCUUCUCCCUCAAUACAAUGCAUGACCUCCCUACGAAGGCUACGAAGAUGCAGAAAUCGGACACAGAUUAAAGGGUAUCAAAAGGCACUUUGGAAGACUGUUAUCAACUCCAUUUGCACACGCACAGAAGCCAUUUUUCACCAAAUAUUUACCUGGAGACAGCCUUGUGGGGGAAAUGAGGGCUUUGGACGCAGAAAACUUAGAAUUGAUUCCCAGUACUGUAAUUAACCAGCUGUGGGACUUUGUUCAAGAUCAACCUCUCCACUUCACUUCCUGACCUAUACAAUGGAUAAAAUGGUAACCUGCCUUGGCCUCUUGGAACCCAAUUUCCUCUCUGGAUACCUGAUAAUUUUGUCUGGUCAGGUUCAUGCCAGCGUUCACCUGUUUUAUAGCACCUCACAUCCCCACCAUUCAACCCCAGCUGACCAUGUGGGUCAAGGGCUGGACUAGGACUGGAAAGAAAGUAUGUUGUACAUUCUAAUUUUUCUUUCAAAUAACACAAAUAUAAAUAC
rnacentral:lncRNA from 1 species